GGAAGUCUUGGCCAGAUAACAUCUCAUCUCGAUAAAUAAAGAAGUGGCAAUAAUGUAGAUGUAUUGCUUAGCGAUAGGGAAGCAGCAUCCAGAAGAAUUAAACACUGUAGAUGCUAAAAACUCAGACUUGCUCCAAGGUUUAAGUCAAAGGAAAAGUUUGAAUUGAAGACAGGAGGGAGCAGCAGGAUCCUGGCUCUCACAGUCCCGUGUUCAGCACCAGGGUGGAUCCAUGUAUGUCUCUCUUUGGGUUCUCUUUGUUACGAAGGUUCUCUGGGGUUGUGGACUGCAUGCUGGUUAUCCUUUGCUUUAUGUCUAAUAGCUAUUCGUGAGUGAGUACAUACCAUGUUUGUUUUUUUGGGGGGGUGAGUUACCUCAUUCAGGAUGUUUUUUUCUAGUUCUAUCCAUUUGCCUGCAAAUUUCAAGAUGUCAUUGUUUUUUUACGGUGAGUAAUACUCCAUUGUGCAAAUAUACCACAUUUUCUUUAUCCAUUCUUUGGUUGAGGGGAAAUGGCUGAAAGACACUUAAGGAAAUGCUCAACAUCCUUAGUCAUGAGAGAAAUGAAAAUCAAAACAACUCUGAGAUACCAUCUUAAACUGAUCAGAAUGGCUAAGAUCAAAAAAACACCGAUGACUGUUUAUGCUGGAGAGGAUGUGGAGAAAGGGGAACACUGCUUCAUUUCUGGUGGGUGUGCAAACUUGUACAGCCACAUUAGAAAUUAGAAUGGUAGUUUCUCAGAAAAUUGGGAAUCAAUCUACUUCAAGACCCAGCAAUACCACUUUUGGGCAAAUACCCAAAGGAUACACACUCGAACCACAAGGACAUUUGCUCAACUAUGUUCAUAGCAACAUUAUUUGUAAUAGCCAGAAAAGGGCUUGGUUUUAUCUAAGACAAGGUCUCACUGUGUAGCCCUGGCUAGCCUGGAACUUACUAUGUAGAUCAGGUUAGCCUGGAGUUCACAGUGUUGAUAUUAAAGGCAUGUGCCAGUACACUGGGUCGUGGACACUCUUAUAAUCAUGUGUCCAUAUGACAUUGGCACACACUUGUCAAAAAAUGUAGACUAUAAAAACAUAGGGUGAAAAUUAUUUUUAAAAACUGUAAAAGGAAAAAGAGGGUUGGGGAUAUGAAUCCGUAGGUAAAGUGCUUGCAACACAGCAUGAAUUUGAUUCCUCCAGAACCUACAGUUUUUUUUUUUUUUUUUUUUUUUUAAAGCUAGUAUUGGUCAACUGGCAGGAUAAAGGCACUUGCUGCCAAGCCUGAUAACUGGAGUUUAAUUCCCAGAACCCACAUGGAAGAAAGAAACAAUCAACUCCUCCAAGUUGACCUCUGACCUCCUUAUGUGCCCUGUGGCAUACACAUGUCCCCACACAAUAAAUAAAUUAAAAUGUAAUAAUAAGAAAGCCCGGUGAGGUGGUGAAUUCUUGUAGUCCUGGCACUGAGGAGGUGAAGACAGGAGGACCCUGAGGCUCACUGACCAGCCAGUGCAAUUGAAUUGGGGAGCUCCAGGCUCAGUGAGGGACCUUGUCUCAAAAACUAAGAUGGAUGACAACUGAGCAAGACCCCUCAAGGUCAGAGUUUGGCCUCUACAUGCAUAAGCACAUAUGUGCAUGCACACAUGUACACAUACAAAGAAAGAAGAGGAAAGAAAAAGUGAGGGUGUGGUCAAUGGCAGAACACUUGCCUAUCACAAGUGAGAUCUGGCUUAGUCCUCAGCAGCAUAGAUGGGAUAUUUUCACCUCUAAUGUAAUAGACCAUUGACCCAAGAAACUACAUGUAUGCAGUAUUCUAAGUUACCAUUCCCUUCUUGAGCCAUGGUGCAUGCUAAUAAAUUAUUUACACCUUUAUCUUUUUUUUUUUUUACUACAUCCUGCAAUUAACCUAUCUACUUUCCUUUCCGUUUCUUCUUGCUCUUUGCAAACAUUGUAGAAAUGAUUUCUCUUUAAACUUGAAGAUGAUUCAACCAUGUAUGGAACGUUUCUUUCUGAUGGACUGUUAUGUGAAACAGGGUAGUUUCCCGUAGUCAGCUGGAUUUAAAAUGUGCCUGAGAUAAAUACACAGAGAGGAAAGUGGACACUGGAGGUUGAGGAGUAACUGUCAUGGGUGAGCACUGUUUUAUAGGGAGAUGACAACUUGUGGGAGUCAGCUUUUUCCUCCUACUGUAUAGGACCUGGGGGUCAAACUCAGGCCAUCAGGAUUGGCAGCAAGCACCUUUACUCACUGAGCCACCCUGAAGCCCAUUUUUAGCCUCUCUCUCUCUCACUCACUCACUCACUCACUCACUCACUCACUCACUCCCCGGAGCUGAGGUGACAAGCACACACCCACCAUACCCAGAUUUUCUAUUCUGUGAGUUCAAAGGGAUGCAAAUCAAGUUUUUGUGGGGCAGUGAGAGGGCUCAAAAGUUAAAAAUACCUGUUGCUGCACCUGAUGACCUGAGUUCAAUUCCCCAGAACAACACAUUAGGGGAACACAGACUCAUCAGGUUGUCCUCUGACUUCCACACACUUGUAUCCUUCUUCAUGUGCCCCCUUCAGUUUUAUACAAAAUAGGUACAACAGGUUUUUAUUUUGAAUUUGUUUGUUUGUUUGUUUGUUUUAAAUAGUCUUUGCACUUUCAAAGCAAGCACUUGACUUAAUGGGCCGUCACCUCUGCUGGCCCCUCUUACUCAUUUUCAAGUACACACAGCUCAACAUUCCUCUGCUUAAAUCAAGAAGUAAAUUUUAAGUAUUACUCCAAUGUAAUUGAAAUUUCCUAUACUCACAGCUUCUUUUCCUUGCACAUGGUUUUUAAAAAAAACUAUAGUUUUGUUUCUCCUUUUUUAUGCAAAGCCAAUUUUUUUUUUCACCUCUUCCAGGUUCAUCUUCUAAAAAUCCCUUCAUGAGGGAAUUCAUUACUAAGGAGCUUAGGACUUAAUAAACAAAACUAGUUUAUGAAAAUGAAGGUCACAAUUAAACUAGGGGAAAAUACAGAUUUUCUUCACACAUUUAUUACAAUAAAACAUCUAUUACGCAUUUGGCUGCUAAAAUUAGUAAUUAAUGUCUACUCGGCAUUUCUUUCUUUGGGGGAACUUUCUAGAACUUCUGCUUUUUUUGAGUUUCAGUUAGAAGCAUGUUGAUUUUUAUUUUGACACAUGACAUCCAUGAAAAGUGCUUUCUCCCUGUUCGUCAUUAUCACUUCACUAUUGAUUUUAUGAAUUAAAGGUAGUUGGCCUCUACUGUCUGCUCUCAGUAAAAUUCCAAGAUAUUGGGCAGUCCUGCCAAAAAUCAUUGCUGGAGUUGUUAGGGUCAGAGCCUGGCCCCUGGCAGUCCUAUCAAGCUAGACUCAGCUGUCCAUCCUCAACAGACCAAAUAAGCAGGUAAGUGGUAGUGAAAAGCUGAGAAAGGAAAUUUACUCAUUGUGGUCACAUUAGAAAGACGAAUAAAGAGGUCCAGUGAUCCACCCACAAGGCCAUCUUUGGGGACUUGACCUGAGGGUCAGUUUUAAAUAGAGGGUAAAAGGUGUGCACAGUUAAUCAGUCCUGGAUAAGGUGUGGUCCUUCUCCCCACUAACCCAUUGACAUCUCAGCUCUAGUUUGCUUGUGUUUGCAAGGCAGUCUAAUAAAUUAUCAGAACAGCAAGAAACCUCUUUCCAGGAGACAGUUCCUUCUCCAGCUGGCACCAGAGUUUAGCCUUUCCCUUCUCCUAGCAUGAGAUUCCCUGGGAAAUUCCAAUUUCUUGGGGGGUCACUAUCUUAAUGGCCUGAUAGCCAAAGCAAGGGGGUAUACAUGUCUCUGUAGCAUAUCCUCAUUUCUGACAUUAGAAAUAAUGUUAGGUUCAGAAGUUGAUGUCAAAUUCAGGUCUCACUCUUACAGAACAUGUGAUCUUGGGCCAGUAAGGACAAUACUCUAAACUUGGUUUCUCCAUUUGUUAAUUGAUAAGACUAAAUUAGAACCCAUGGCUUUGUUCAUUUCGCACAGCUAUAACAGAACCCUACAGACUGGGUGAUUUAUAAUGAACAGAAUUUUUUUCUCACAGUUCUGGACUGGGAAGUCCAAGAUCAAGGCACCCUUAGGUUUGACACUGGGGGAGAGGACUGGGUCUUUUUCAAGAUGAAAUCUAGAAGCUGCAUCUCCAGAGGGGAUGGAUGUUGUUCCUUACAGGGAAGAGCAGCUGGAGCAGAAGACCCAUCCCAAUAAGCCCUGUCACACCAACAUUAUUCUGUUCGUGAGAUGAACACCUCCUUUUGUCCUACCUUAGGGAUUAACUGGUCAACGCACGAAACUGGAGAGGACAAAGAGAUUCAGACUAAGGGCUGGGAAUGCAGCUUAGUUGACAUUGUGGUCACAUUAGAAAGACGAAUAAAGAGGUCCAGUGAUCCACCCACAAGGCCAUCUUUGGGGACUUGACCUGAGGGUCAGUUUUAAAUAGCGGGUAAAAGGUGUGCACAGCGUAGCAUGUACAAGGACCUGGGUUUAAGCCCUAGUGCCAGAUAAACCACGAUUGGUAGCUCAUAUCUUUAACGCCACCAUUUGGAGGUGAAGACAGAAGAACCAGAAGUUUAAGGUUAUCCUCAUGCUACAGGGUGAGUCUGAGGCCAGCCUAGUUUAGAGAUAUGAGAGUCAAAGGAAAAAAGAAAGGAAGGAAGGAAAAUAGAGAGAGAAGGAAGAAAGGAGGGAGGGAGGAAGAUUCAAACUGCAGCAACUCAUUUCAUUGUGUUGUGAAAAUUUAAAAAAAAACUAAAACAUGUAACAUUAGUAGCUUAAUAUUUGACAAUAAUACGCAUCAGUAAAUCAACAUUAUGACAGAUAUUUUUAAGGUCCUUUGAACUGGGCGUGGUCUCACACACCUAUGAUCCUGACACUCAGGAGUCAAAGGCAGAAGGAUUGCCCAGGAAUUCAAGGCCAGGCAGGGGUACAGAGUGAGAACUUAACUAAAAACAACAACAACAAAACUUGGCUACAAAGAAGAGUGAUUUAUUAAACUGAUGGAUAGGAGUAUUGUCAGGACAUUCAAGGGAAUAAAAAUUUUAGAACCCUCCAGAGAAAUCUGGAAAAAUGAGAGUCAGGUCUCUCCCCACCCCAAUAUGAUUCCUCCUCUAGAACUGUAAGUCAAAACAAACUCUUCCAUAAGUUGUUUCUUCUUUACGUUGCUUUGGCCAUGGUGUUUUAUCAAGCAUCAAAAAUUAACUGCUACACCAGAUAACCUGCAAGCUGGGUGGGUGGAGUAGGACACCAUAAAGCAGAUGUCUUGAUGCUUUCUUAGAAUUCUACCUACCACAGGAGGGGACUCUAUCCUGGUUUGAUUUUUUUCUGUGAUAAAACACUGACUAAAAGAAACUUGGGUGGGGGGAGGAUUUAUUAUAUCUUACAGGUUAGAGUCUAUCAUCAAGGGAAGCCAAGGCUGGAGGUCAAGAAAAGAACCUGGAGGUAAGGACUGAAGCAGAAGCCAUGGAGAAAAGCUGCUCACUGGCUUGUUUCUCUUGGCUUUCUCAGCCUGAUUUGUUAUACCAUCCAGGACCAUCUGCCUAAGGAUGGCACUGCCCACAGUGGGCUGGGCCCUCCCAUAUCAAUCAUUAAUCAAGAAUAUGUCCCAUAGAAUUUUCUACAGGAAAAUUUGAUGGAAACAUUUUCCCAAGUCAAGUUCUCUCUUCCCAGAUGACCCUGGCUUGUGUCAAGUUAACAAAAAGCUAACCAACACAGACCCACUAAUACCUCCAUCUUCCUGAUGUAGGACAAGGCACAGUCCUACAGCUUGGAAGGAGCAGAGCUGGUGUUUGGGCUCUACUUCCACCACUUUGUAUAUCCUUAGCAACAUCCAAUUGUUCAUUGAAUUAAUGUUUUUCUCUCCACUAAGAAAGCUUUUUUGAUGAUCUCUACUGACAUUAAUGUUUGCUAUUUGUCCCUAAGCUGUUGACUAAUCAGGUAUUUCAUAUUAGUAAUUUCACCUAGUCCUUCAGGUGAAAAAAAAUCAUGAAUUUUUGUUCUUAUUGUUUUGAGGUCUUGUUUGCUUGCUUGUUUGUUUUGAGACAGGUUUCUUGUAGCCCAGGCUGCCCUCAGAUUCCCCAUGUAGUUGAGGAUGUCCUUGAACUUCUGAUCCUCAUAUCUAUACCUCCUGAGUGCUGGGAACAAAUAGCAUGAGCCACCAUGUUGGUUUAUGCAAUACUGGAAAAGGCUAAGCGAGCAUUUUACUCAGAGCUACGUUACCAACCCCAAGUUCUUCUUAGUCCACCAAAGGAACCAGAGCCCAUCCAUGUUUACAUUUUUUUUCUGUAUUGAGUUACAGACUUAAUUUCAUUCAUUAAUUAAAUUUCUUUAACAUUUUCAUUGAUUCACAGUUAUUGCACAUGGAAGUAGGUUAUAAGGACAUAAUCAUGUAAACAUUAUCUUUUCCCCCUAUUUAUUAAUUUUUUUUACAUUCCAAUCCCAGUUCUCCCUCCUUUCUUUCUUCCCACUCCCUCCACUUGCCCCUUCUCCCAUCUGCUCCACAGAAAGGGUAAGGCCUCCCAUAGGAAGUCUACUAAGUCUGUCCCAUCAUCUAGUUUAGGCAGGACCAAGACACCUCUCCAUCCCCACACCCCUAGGAUGAGCAUGUCUAGGCUGGGCAUGGUAUCUCUCCAUAUAGAAUGGGCUCCACUAAGUCAGUUUGUACAUUAAUGUUAGGUCUUGUUAGGCCUGUGGCCUCAUAUAUUGUCCCAAUCACACCAUUGUCACCUAUAUUAAGGGAGUCUAGUUUGGUCUUAAAGCAUUAUCUUAUAAGGGCAUUUUCAUACAGGUGUUUUGAAGACUUCUGCUUUUAAAAUACCUGGUUUGAAAGCCACUGGGUGGUUGUAGAAGGAGAAUUCAGCUUUGAAGAGAUGCCUGGAUCUCAAUCCCAGCACUGCUUCUUAACUGAAAGUAACCUUGGGUGAACUGUGUAGUUUUUCUGAGUCUCCAUUUCCUAAUCAGUACACCGUAGAAAAUGAUGCCAAGGCUAGAGGUGGUAAUGCCCUUGAGGCCAUUGCUAUGUUCAUAACAGGAGUUAGUGGUUACUCAGGGCAUGUUGGCUGAGCAAGUUAAUACCUUACAUGGAAACGGCAGGGCUCCACAGUUGCUUAGUUAAAGGAGUCGAUCCUCGUUAUUUUUCCAAGCUUUCUUUUCUGAUUUUAUCAUCUUGCUCAACAGUGAUACCUGCAUUUCAAUUUUUGGAAAGACAUUAAUUGUGGAGGAUGGCUAAAAUUGGUUAGGGAAGGUGAGAUGACUCAGCUGGUUAAAGUGACAGUUGCACCAGUCUGAGUAGCCGCAUUGAUCACAUCUGUAAUCCUAACACUCCUGUGAGAUGAGAGGUAGAGAUGGAAGAGUUAGUCAGAAGUUGCAUAUGCAGUACAGCAGGAGAAACAAGAAAGACACUGACUCAAAACAACAUGGAAAAAAAACCAACUCAAUUCCUAAAGACUUGUCUUUGACCUUCACAUCACACAAACACAAACACACACACACAUACACACACACACACACACACACACACACACACACACACACAAACACACAAACAACUUUUUAAAAAACAUUGGGUAAGGAACAGUUGAGAGGAUUUGAUUUUGCCCUAUAUAUGUUACAGCCAUUCCAAGGAAAAUAUAUUCGUGUAUUAAUUGCUCAAAUAGAAACACAUUUUUUGUUGUUAGCUGAAAGCUUCACCACAUACCCCGGGAAUGCUCUUCCACCAGAAUAGAGGCUUGUUUUGACUUCAUAUGUGGAACUGCACUCCCCCCACUGCAUAUAUUCCUAACAGUGUCCAAUUUUCCACCUAAUUGAUAUGCUCUUCUUUCCACAGAGCACAGUGUUCUGAAGCAUGCAACCCACUUCUCUUGUAGAAACGUCUUGUCUUUUUCAACAGCUGCCUCGCCCUCUGUCAUCCAAACCUGUUACUAUGUGCAGAACCACACUGACUAAUUCAUCUAAGCUCUUUAUCUUAUCUCACUGGGAAAGGCUCUGGUUACCACAUCUCCUUUCUUACUCCUCCACACAUGGAGUACUGUUGUAUGCAGUUGGACAGUGAUCUUUUAACUCUUCGAUGCCUGGAAACUUCCCUUUUGACAGCUUUCCUCCUGGAUCUUGGGAGAUGGCUCAGUUAGUGUAAUGAGCUUGCUGCACACACACCUGAGUUCAGAUCUGCAGCACACAAGUACAUGUGUCUGAAACCCCAGCUCAGGAAAUGUCUGAGACUGAAGGAUCAAUGGAGCUCACUGGACAGCCAAGCAAGCCAGCUGGUGAGCUCCAGGUUCAGUGAGAGACUGCUUCAAACAGUAAGAUAGAAAGUGAAGUGUUAAAAAAGACACUUGUAAUCAGCCUCUGACCUCCAUGUGCAUAGGACAUUUUCACUGCAUACAAGACACACACACACACACACACACACACACACACACACACACACACACACAGAGAGAGAGAGAAACAGACACACACAGAAACAGACAAACACAGAGAAACAGACGCGCACACACACAUAACAGAGAUAAACAGAUACACACACACACACAAAUGCACACCCCAUACACACACACACACACACACACACACACACACACACACACACACACGUGCACACAAACACACGAAUGCAAACUCAUCCAUCCACCACAAUUUUUUCAGUCUCCACGAUUGUCUACAAUAGAAUAAGUUGUGACUAAGAAGCAAGUUUCCCUUCCUGUAACAGAUCUCCAAUUGAUGGUUCCUUUUCAAAACUCUGACGUCUGAUUGAGGUUCGACAUGUUCAUGUGCCCACUUCCUUGGCCCAAGUCCUUAACCCUGUGCUGAACUAAUUGUACCUGGGAGACUUUUGUUUCUCUAUUAAUUUAACUCAAGUACUUAAUCCUGUGAUGCAUCGUACACGGGAUACUUUUGUUUCUCCUCUGUUAAUUUGAGUCAAGACUUCAUUUGUUUCUCCACUCAUUGUCACACAGCAAGCUGAUUUUAUAGUUCCUUUUCAGUAACUAAAUCAGUAACUGAAGCUACCUUUGAAAAUGUUUUAAAAUGCAUUUUCAUUUAUGUGCAUGUGUGCUUGCCGGUCUUAUGGGCACCACAUGUAUGCAGUGCAUACAGAGGCCAAGAGAAGGUGUUGGAUCCCUGGAACUGAAGCUAAUACAAGAGCUUUCACAGAUGUACCCUACCAAUUUUUUGUUUGUUUGUUUGUUUGUUACAUUGUGUUGCUGGAGUAGUCUGGAUUUCAAAUACUCUCCUUGGAGGGAACAUAAACAGAGCAGUCUACACCCGGAAACAGAAAAGCUGUACAUAGUUGGAAUGUCAACUCAUAAAACUGGACUACAGAUCACAGCAAGGACACACCCAAGAAUGGUGACUCCUGAUGACACAUCUCAGUUUCUGGUCUAGCAACAGCUCCUCUGUCCUGUCUUACUGCCACUAAGCAGCAUUUGUCAGAGUCAGUGUAAGGCCGGGACAUGGAUGUCAUAGGGCAUGGACAUCAGACCCUCUGCUGCGAUUAGGUACAAUUGCUUUAGCUCAGGUGGGCUCAGGAGAUAGCUGCAAACUAAACACCGUAGCUAAGACGCCCUCAGGGUGAGCCUGACCAGGAUGAGGUAGAGCUGAACCAAGCACUCACCGGAAGGUGUUAGAAACACCUGGGCCCCUCUGGCAGAGUGGACUGUAUUAUGAGUGAGUACAUACCAUGUUUGUCUUUUUGUGACUGGGUUACCUCACUCAGGAUGGUUUCUUCUAGUUCCAUCCAUUUGCCUUCCAAUUCCAAAGGAGGACCCCAAGAGAAGAUUGCAUAGUCCCUCGAAGAAGGGGAGGGGGACAAGAACCCCUGAGCAAAGUGGGAGCAUGGGGUGGGGAGAGGAAGGAAGUGGGAAGGGAAGAAGGGGAGGGGGGAGGAGAACAAGAGGACCGAGACAGGGGAGGAAUAGAGGAGGGCAAGAAAGGAGAUGCCUUGAUAGAGGGAGACAGUACAGGUUUAGAGAGAGGUCUGGCACAGGGGAAAUGAUAGGGGAUCCACAGGGAUGACCCUAACUAAGAAUCUAGGCAGUGGUGGAGAGGAUGCCAUUGAUGCCCUUCCCCUAUAAUCAGAUUGAUGUCUACCUUGGUUAUCAUUCCUAGAGCCUUCAUCCAAUAGCAGCUGUUCGAAGCAGAAACAGGCACCCACAGCUAAGCACUGAACCAUAUUCCUGAGAUCCAGUUGUGGAGAGGGAGGAGGGAUGAACAAAAGAACCAAGACAGUGCUGGAGAAACUCACAGAAACAGUUGACCUGACCUACUGAGACCAUGGAGACCCUAGUCAUAAAGCUGGAGAAACAGCUCUGAAUGUGGGUGCCAGUUAGGAGGCCAAGACAGUCUAUGGAACCUCUAACAGUGGAGCCAGUCUUUAUCCCUAGAGCACAAGUGGAUUUUGGGAGCCCAUUCCCUAUGGAGGGAUACUAUUGCAGCCCAGAUACAGCAAGGAGGGCCUAGGCCCUCCCCCAAAUGAUAUGACGGACUUUGAGGGUCCCCGUGGAGGGCCUCACUAUCCCUGGGGAGGAGUUGGGGGAU
rnacentral:lncRNA from 1 species